AACAGUCAGAAUGUAUUGGAAGCUGCCUUCGUGUUUGGGACUUCGUACAGUCAGUCUUGUACCCUUGAAGUCUCGGACCUCCAGCGAAAAGUUCCUGAACCCAUAUUUUAUGAGAUGUUCGUGCAGUUUGAGGACGAGAAGGGGAGUCCCCAUUUAUGGCCGGUCCCUGUAGACAACCCUGCAAUACGGACAAGUAGCCAAGCAUCCUUAGACUCUAAGGCGCUCAGAAGAUUCUUUCUUGUUGACGGGCUCUCGGGCAGAAAAGGGAACCUGACGAACCUUCCGGGAUCUGUUACACUUGCAGCAGAAUUGCU